rnacentral:lncRNA from 1 species
AAGAGACUUGGUGAACACAAGUCACUGGAAUAAGCAGAACCAUGGAUCUGAUGUUUCCUACUGUCUUUUUAAACUUAAAUUAAAGGUUACUGCAUGUUACAUCAGCUGGAGUUUGUACAUGUUAUUCCUUUCAAGGAGAAGUGAAUUUGAGUAAUACAGGAAAAGGUGGUACGUGUAUGGAUCCUUGUCUGAAGGCAAGAAAGUAAACAGCACAGGCCUGUAACAAGUUCAUUUUAAAAAGGGGAGGGAGAGAUUACAGGGGAAAGUUUGUACUAUAGGAAAUAUCUCUUCAGCUGAGAUUGCGGUGACGUUGUCCAGGGUUUUAAGGUAAUUGCUACAUUCCAAGUUGCUUUCAGUGCCAAAGCUUAAGUAGUGGGGGUAGCUAAAGGAACAGCAUCUUGCCUGGAUAGACGUACCUGGAACUCAAGGGUGCCACAGCCCCCAGCCAGCCUGGGUACCACUGUGCCCAGCUGCAGCUCAUGAGACCAGCUAGAGGAAGGGCAGGCCACCUCAGAUUUUCAGACAGACUAAAGAAGAUUCCCUCGAGCAACAUCCUACAUAUCACAGCUCAUUCAACAGAGCAGUGGAUGCCCUUGAUACCACAGACAGAAACAUUCUCUGUGCUGUACACUCUCAGGUAAUUGCAGAAUGAGAUUCAGCCUAAUACACCUUUUAGUUUAUUUGUUUCCACCACAAACUGCACUUCUCUCUAUAUUGUCCACAAGGUAGGCCAUGGUUCAGCUGCGAGACUAGCAAGAAUGAGCCAUUGGCCUCAGUGCCAAGUUUGGCACUGGUGGAGGCUGAGACUGAGACUUGUGAUUUAAAGUGAUUUUUAAAAUUAAUUUGUAGCCAGAUGCCAAACCCAAUCAUUAACACUGCUUCAAACUUCAGAUUCUGGUUCUUUGAUACAUAUUUUUGUAGUGGGGUUGCUGAUUUCUUUUGCUUAGUUUAGUUUUAAAAUAAGCUAUUUUCUGCUUUAUGAAAUAGAAUACAAUGCAUAUUUAGUCUCUUUGGCCAAAGUCUUUUUUUUUUUUUCUUAUUUUUUUACAGAAUUGUAGAGGUUGGAAGAGAGAUCUUCAGGUCCAGCCCCCCUGCCAAAGCAGGUUCUCUAGAGCAGG